GACGAACGCUGGCGGCGUGCUUAACACAUGCAAGUCGAACGGAAAGGCCCUGCUUUUGUGGGGUGCUCGAGUGGCGAACGGGUGAGUAACACGUGAGUAACCUGCCCUUGACUUUGGGAUAACUUCAGGAAACUGGGGCUAAUACCGGAUAGGAGCUCCUGCUGCAUGGUGGGGGUUGGAAAGUUUCGGCGGUUGGGGAUGGACUCGCGGCUUAUCAGCUUGUUGGUGGGGUAGUGGCUUACCAAGGCUUUGACGGGUAGCCGGCCUGAGAGGGUGACCGGCCACAUUGGGACUGAGAUACGGCCCAGACUCCUACGGGAGGCAGCAGUGGGGAAUAUUGCACAAUGGGCGGAAGCCUGAUGCAGCAACGCCGCGUGCGGGAUGACGGCCUUCGGGUUGUAAACCGCUUUCGCCUGUGACGAAGCGUGAGUGACGGUAAUGGGUAAAGAAGCACCGGCUAACUACGUGCCAGCAGCCGCGGUGAUACGUAGGGUGCGAGCGUUGUCCGGAUUUAUUGGGCGUAAAGGGCUCGUAGGUGGUUGAUCGCGUCGGAAGUGUAAUCUUGGGGCUUAACCCUGAGCGUGCUUUCGAUACGGGUUGACUUGAGGAAGGUAGGGGAGAAUGGAAUUCCUGGUGGAGCGGUGGAAUGCGCAGAUAUCAGGAGGAACACCAGUGGCGAAGGCGGUUCUCUGGGCCUUUCCUGACGCUGAGGAGCGAAAGCGUGGGGAGCGAACAGGCUUAGAUACCCUGGUAGUCCACGCUGUAAACGGUGGGUACUAGGUGUGGGGUCCAUUCCACGGGUUCCGUGCCGUAGCUAACGCUUUAAGUACCCCGCCUGGGGAGUACGGCCGCAAGGCUAAAACUCAAAGGAAUUGACGGGGCCCCGCACAAGCGGCGGAGCAUGCGGAUUAAUUCGAUGCAACGCGUAGAACCUUACCUGGGUUUGACAUGGAUCGGGAGUGCUCAGAGAUGGGUGUGCCUCUUUUGGGGUCGGUUCACAGGUGGUGCAUGGCUGUCGUCAGCUCGUGUCGUGAGAUGUUGGGUUAAGUCCCGCAACGAGCGCAACCCUUGUUCACUGUUGCCAGCACGUUAUGGUGGGGACUCAGUGGAGACCGCCGGGGUCAACUCGGAGGAAGGUGGGGAUGACGUCAAGUCAUCAUGCCCCUUAUGUCCAGGGCUUCACGCAUGCUACAAUGGCUGGUACAGAGAGUGGCGAGCCUGUGAGGGUGAGCGAAUCUCGGAAAGCCGGUCUCAGUUCGGAUUGGGGUCUGCAACUCGACCUCAUGAAGUUGGAGUCGCUAGUAAUCGCAGAGCAGCAACGCUGCGGUGAAUACGUUCCCGGG
rnacentral:rRNA from 1 species